AUUGAACGCUGGCGGCAGGCCUAACACAUGCAAGUCGAGCGAGCGGCGGACGGGUGAGUAAUGUAUGGGGACUGCCCGAUAGAGGGGGAUAACUACUGGACACGGUGGCUAAUACCGCAUACUAUCGGAUACCCCAUAUGGGAUUAGCUAGUAGGUUGGGUAAAGGCUCACCUAGGCGACGCUCACUAGCUGGUCUGAGAGGCUGAUUAGCCAGACGGGGACUGAGACACGGCCCAGACUCCUGCGGAGGCAGCGGUGGGGAAUAUGGCACAAUGGGCUGAAGCCUGAUGCAGCCAGUCCGCGUGAAUGAAGAAGGCCUUAGGGUUGUAAAUAACUGUCAGCGGGGAGGCGUUACCCGCAGAAGAAGCACCGGCUAACUCCGUGCCAGCAGCCGCGGUAAUAC
rnacentral:rRNA from 1 species